ACGGCACCCACCCUCGGGUGGAAGCGAGUGGCGAACGGCUGAGUAACACGUGGAGAACCUGCCCCCUCCCCCGGGAUAGCCGCCCGAAAGGACGGGUAAUACCGGAUACCCCGGGGUGCCGCAUGGCACCCCGGCUAAAGCCCCGACGGGAGGGGAUGGCUCCGCGGCCCAUCAGGUAGACGGCGGGGUGACGGCCCACCGUGCCGACAACGGGUAGCCGGGUUGAGAGACCGACCGGCCAGAUUGGGACUGAGACACGGCCCAGACUCCUACGGGAGGCAGCAGUGGGGAAUCUUGCGCAAUGGGGGGAACCCUGACGCAGCGACGCCGCGUGCGGGACGGAGGCCUUCGGGUCGUAAACCGCUUUCAGCAGGGAAGAGUCAAGACUGUACCUGCAGAAGAAGCCCCGGCUAACUACGUGCCAGCAGCCGCGGUAAUACGUAGGGGGCGAGCGUUAUCCGGAUUCAUUGGGCGUAAAGCGCGCGUAGGCGGCCCGGCAGGCCGGGGGUCGAAGCGGGGGGCUCAACCCCCCGAAGCCCCCGGAACCUCCGCGGCUUGGGUCCGGUAGGGGAGGGUGGAACACCCGGUGUAGCGGUGGAAUGCGCAGAUAUCGGGUGGAACACCGGUGGCGAAGGCGGCC
rnacentral:rRNA from 1 species